rnacentral:lncRNA from 1 species
AAAACUUCAUCAGACCCCCCCUCUCUCUCUCUCUCUCUCUCUCUGCGACUCAAGAACAUCAUGCCAGAUCUCUUUCUCAUGUGUAUUGAACGGCUCCAUCUCCUCUCUAACACCACCGAUUUAAUCUCCGAUUUGAAGAUUAAAUCAGGGAGAUAUGACUUCGAAUAAGUUCGUUCUUCCGAUUCAACAACCAUCAGUGAAUCAAGUCUGCAAAGAUCGGUGGCUACGGAGAAGAGUUCCCGGCUGGUCCUAGGGUUACCCGCUACAGGUUCUGGUUCGCAACAACCAGCAAUGCAACAGCGUCCGGUUCAGACGCCGCCGGCGCAGCAACAGUCGGCUGACUCACUGUUGGUGCCGUCAUCGUCGAAGAAGAUAAGUGUUGAACUUACAUUUUUAUAAUUUUAUUUGCUGUGUUCUGUUUAUAAUGCUUAAUUUUAUUUCUGUAAUGUUAUUUCAGUUUUGGAAAUUACAUUUUUAUUAUUUUAUUUGUCGUGUUCCGUUUAUAAUGCUUAAUUGCUUGUGAGGUGAUAAUGCAUUGAUAAAUGAUACUCUGUGCUAAUGUUAUUUCAAGUUUGGUUUUAGGUAUCAAUUUCUUCUGAGAAAUCAUGAAAUUUCUCAGCUUUCUGUAUCGGGCUUCACACCUCGGAAAUUUGCUGUUAGCUUAUGAUGGAAGGAAGAGUGCGUUUGUUGCGGGUUCUAUUGAUGGUGGUUGUCUGGUUAAGUUGGCAUUCCGACCACUCGACAACCGUAAGAUCGACGGAGAAGAGGUGCAACUGACACUUUUAGAUCUACGGCCCCCAACCCCUAAUGCGUUCAAACAUUCAGAUCUGGUAUCAGAUCGACGGAGAAGAGGUGCAACUGACACUUUUGUCCUCUCUUCAUUGAAACACAGAUAUAAUGUUUGGAGAUGCCAUGAGGAGAGGAAUCCUAAUUGGUGAAAAAAAAGAUUUACUACAGGGAUGUUAGGUGAUUCAUGCUUAAAUUAACUGGCUUGGAUGUUGAGGAAUUUGGUAUUCCAAAAUUUGAGGAU